GACGAACGCUGGCGGCGUGCUUAACACAUGCAAGUCGAACGGAAAGGCCCUGCUUUCGUGGGACGCUCGAGUGGCGAACGGGAGUGUAACACGUGUGAACCCUGCUCUACACUUGGGGAUAACUUCAGGAAACUGGGGCAAAUACCGGAUAAGCGCUCCUGCUGCAUGGUGGUGGUUGGAAUGUUUCGGCGGUUGGGGAUUGACUCCCGGUUAGCUUGUUUGUUGGUGGGUUACUGGCUAACCAAGGCUUUGACGGGCAGCCGGCCGGAGGGGGUGACCGGCCACAUUGGGACUGGAUAACGGCCCGAACCCCUACGGGAGCCAGCAGUGGGAAUAAUUGCACAAUGGGCGAAGGCCUAAUGCAGCAAGGCGGCGUGCGGGAUGACGGCCUUCGGGUGUUAAACCGCUUUCGCCUGUGACGAAGCUUGUGUGACGGUAAUGGGUUAAGAAGCACCGGCUAACUACGUG
rnacentral:rRNA from 1 species